CUCACCUCUUACCAUUCCGAACAGAGAAGUUAAGCCCAUUAGCGCCAAUGGUACUACAAUCGUGGGAGAGUAGGUCGCCGCCUUCC
rnacentral:rRNA from 1 species